CCGUGCUAAGCGGGGAGGUAGCGGUGCCCUGUACUCGCAAUCCGCUCGAGCGAGGCCGAAUUCCUUUCUCGAGGUUCGUUUACUUUAAGGUCUGCCUUAAGCAAGUGGUGUUGACGCUUGGGUCCUGCGCAAUGGGAAUCCAUGAACCAUGUCAGGUCCGGAAGGAAGCAGCAUUAAGUGGAAC
rnacentral:SRP_RNA from 1 species